rnacentral:rRNA from 1 species
ACGAACGCUGGCGGCGUGCUUAACACCUGCAAGUCGAACGGAAAGGCCCUGCUUUUGUGGGGUGCUCGAGUGGCGAACGGGUGAGUAACACGUGAGUAACCUGCCCUUGACUUUGGGAUAACUUCAGGAAACUGGGGCUAAUACCGGAUAGGAGCUCCUGCUGCAUGGGUGGGGUUGGCAAGUUUCGGCGGUUGGGGAUGGACUCGCGGCUUAUCAGCUUGUUGGUGGGGUAGUGGCUUACCAAGGCUUUGACGGGUAGCCGGCCUGAGAGGGUGACCGGCCACAUUGGGACUGAGAUACGGCCCAGACUCCUACGGGAGGCAGCAGUGGGGAAUAUUGCACAAUGGGCGGAAGCCUGAUGCAGCAACGCCGCGUGCGGGAUGACGGCCUUCGGGUUGUAAACCGCUUUCGCCUGUGACGAAGCGUGAGUGACGGUAAUGGGUAAAGAAGCACCGGCUAACUACGUG